GCUGGGAGGGAGUCCGGGGCCCAGUUCCCGGCGCCUCUGAGCGGCUCUCGAGGCGUUCUCGCCUCGGUCUCUGGCGAGUGCACGGAUCAAAAGCAGCAUGGAUCUGCCUGUGGAUGAGUGGAAAUCAUAUCUGCUUCAAAAGUGGGCUUCACUCCCGACGUCUGUUCAGGUCACAAUUUCUACAGCAGAGACCUUGAGGGAUAUCUUUCUUCACUCCUCUUCACUUCUUCAACCUGAGGAUGAGCUGUUUCUAAAAAGACUUUCUAAAGGUUACUUGGUGGGAAAGGACUUGGAUGCUCCCCUUUUCUACAGAGAAGAAGGAAACAAAAAAUUUCAGGAGAAAGAUUACACAGGAGCUGCAGUGCUGUACUCUAAGGGAGUGUCACAUUCAAGGCCUAACACUGAGGACAUGUCACUGUGUUAUGCUAACCGCUCGGCAGCCCUCUUCCACCUGGGUGAGUAUGAGGUGAGUAUCAGGAUACCUGGUGUGAGUGGAGAGGAUCCGGAGGGCUUUUACUGGAGGACUUAGACCUUCAUCUCUGCUUCUUCCAUAGAACACUAAAAUCAGGUCAUGCUGCUAUUGGUUGAAUUGGAAGCACAUUAAUAUCUACCUAAAGUCGGGCCGGGCGCUCAUGCCUGUAAUCUCAGCACUUUGGGAGGUCCAGGCAGGCGGAUCACCUGAGGUCAAGAGUUCAAGACCAGUCUGGCCAACAUGGUGAAACCCUGUCUCUACUAAAAAUACAGG
rnacentral:sRNA from 1 species